rnacentral:tRNA from 1 species
AAUUAUAUAGUCUAUAUAGGAUUUUAAACUGCAAAUUUAAAGGAAAAUUUAAUUUUAUAAUUU